UACAGGGGGGGCAAGCGUUGUUCGGAAUUACUGGGCGUAAAGGGCUCGUAGGUGGCCAACUAAGUCGGACGUGAAAUCCCUCAGCUUAACUGGGGAACUGCGUCCGAUACUGGAUGGCUUGAGUUUGGGAGAGGGAUGCGGAAUUCCAGGUGUAGCGGUGAAAUGCGUAGAUAUCUGGAGGAACACCGGUGGCGAAGGCGGCAUCCUGGACCAACACUGACACUGAGGAGCGAAAGCCAGGGGAGCAAACGGG
rnacentral:rRNA from 1 species